rnacentral:rRNA from 1 species
GUGUCAGCAGCCGCGGUAAUACGGAGGAUGCAAGCGUUAUCCGGAUUUAUUGGGUUUAAAGGGUGCGUAGGCGGAAAAAUAAGUCAGUGGUGAAAACCUGCAGCUUAACUGUAGAAUUGCCAUUGAUACUGUUAUUCUUGAGUAUGGUCAAGGUAGGCGGAAUGUGUAAUGUAGCGGUGAAAUGCUUAGAUAUUACACAGAACACCGAUUGCGAAGGCAGCUUGCUGGGCCAUUACUGACGCUGAUGCACGAAAGCGUGGGGAUCGAACAGGAUUAGAUACCCUGGUAGUCCACGCCGUAAACGAUGAUCACUCGCUGUUAGCGAUACACAGUUAGCGGCUAAGCAAAAGCAUUAAGUGAUCCACCUGGGGAGUACGGCCGCAAGGCUGAAACUCAAAUGAAUUGACGGGG